rnacentral:tRNA from 1 species
UCCCGAGUGGCUUAGAUGGUAAAGCGUCUGCUUACAACACGGGAGACCCUGGUUCAAUCCCUGGGUUGGGAA